UACGAAGGGUGCAAGCGUUAAUCGGAAUUACUGGGCGUAGAGCGUGCGUAGGCGGUGAGUUAAGUCUGUUGUGAAAUCCCCGGGCUCAACCUGGGAAUGGCAAUGGAUACUGGCUCGCUAGAGUGUGAUAGAGGAUGGUGGAAUUCCCGGUGUAGCGGUGAAAUGCGUAGAGAUCGGGAGGAACAUCAGUGGCGAAGGCGGCCAUCUGGAUCAACACUGACGCUGAGGCACGAAAGCGUGGGGAGCAAACAGG
rnacentral:rRNA from 1 species